UACAACAUAUUGAAUUUAUCGAUCGAUUGUUAGGCCGAUUUCGAUCAGCAUUGUAUAGUUAAUGAAUGACAACUUGACGAGAUCUUGACACGCACGUUGGAAGUGUACGCGUGUUUGCACCUCGAUGAGCGUUGCACAAUAACAAAGCUCCGUUGGUGAGCGUAUUGAUUAAUAAAGGUGAAGUCCUUGAGUGCCUCAAGGACUUUGUUUUGUUUUAGCAGUAUUUUUUCCUUCAACAAUUAAUCUUGCAUCUCCAACCGUGGAAUGAGUUACAUGUGACUCGAGACAAACAAACAGUGCAAUUGCAACAAUAUAAUUAGUCAGCGAUAUAAAUUUGCCAUAUCUUCAUGCCAACCACAAGGAUUCUGCUUUUGCACACACCUUGCUAAUUAUAAUUUUGCACCUUGCCUUGGGAAGGCUAUACCCUUCCCACUUUUUCAUUUUUGGCC